CUUAUUUGCAGAUCUCCUAUCUUGCUCUUUGUAGGUUACUUUAAAAAAAAAAUUAUUCCUAUUCUUUUAUUCUUGGGGUCUCAAAAAAAGAUUUUGUUAGUAUUUUUUUUUCUUUUUUGGCUCAGAAAAAAAAGAUUUUGGAAUCUGCUAUCUUGGAAUUAGACCUUCUGAUUCAUCUUAAGUGGGAUACCUUCCAUCCUUGUCUGUGUAUAACCUUUCCUAAGGUAAAGCUAACUUUCUUCUCUCUCAGAUGGGUUUCAGCCCAGCAGAAGCAUUAUCUUUGCCAGUUGGAGUGCUGGAGACUUUGGAUCGGUUGGUGCCACUGAAUGGCUGGAGGGAUACCUUUCGUCCCUGCAUUUAAAGGCUUUCACUUACAUUAAUCUGGAUAAAGCGGUUCUUGGUACCAGCAACUUCAAGGUUUCUGCCAGCCCACUGUUGUAUACGCUUAUUGAGAAAACAAUGCAAAAUGUGAAGCAUCCGGUUACUGGGCAAUUUCUAUAUCAGGACAGCAACUGGGCCAGCAAAGUUGAGAAACUCACUUUAGACAAUGCUGCUUUCCCUUUCCUU
rnacentral:sRNA from 1 species